rnacentral:tRNA from 2 species
GGUGAAUGUAGCUCAGCAGGUUAGAGCGCCAGAUUGUGGUUCUGGAAGUCGCCGGUUCGAACCCGGUCUUUCACCC